rnacentral:rRNA from 1 species
CUGGUUGAUCCUGCCAGUUGUCAUAUGCUUGUUUCAAGGACUAAGCCAUGCAAGUGUGAGAGUACUCGGGACUUGUCUCGAGAGGUCUGUGUACGGCUCAUUAAACGGUUUAUUGUCUACCCAACGAAGGAUGUGCAUUUGCCACCCCAACGGGAUAACUUUGCUAACUGCAAAGCUAAUACCUGUAAGAAAAACCUUGUACCUUCAAAACAGGGAGGUGACCUUGGUUGCCUUUCUGUGGUCCGAGGUGCGCUUCGCCGAAACAAAAACCAACGCCGAUGUUUCGGCAGCUACUACUGUUGAGGCAGGCGAAUGUCGCGAAAGCGUCCUUUGGACGCGUUGUUGGACGAAUUUACCACCUAUCAGGUUGAAGGUAGUAUAGUUGACUACCUUGCCCUUGACGGGUAACGGGGAAUUGGGGUUCGAUUCCGGAGAGGGUGCUUGAGAAAUGGCAACCAUGACUACGGUCAGCAGCAGGCGCGCAAAUUGCCCAAUGCCAAUACCUGGCGAGGCAGCGACGAAAAAUAAUAACUUUGAUGCACAUACGUGUGUCAGAGAUUGCAAUGGACUGUAUCCAGAAACACUGAUGAGUAUCAAUUGGAGGAAAAGUCUGGUGCCA